AUCUAAUAACUUCCCUCAAAAAAUAAAAUCUUCCUUCAAGACUUACCUCCUUCAAUCUACGUUGGAUAGACUUCACAAAUGUCACUACUUCAGUCCCUCAUCCUGGGGUUGCCCAAAUCAGGCUCCGUGUGGGACCCGCCGAUAGGACAACGUUUCCCAGAAUUCCCCGGGACCUGGCGCGGUCGGAACCCAUGAACUACAACUCCCAGGAUCCUGUGCCCCGUUGUGGGUGGGGCUUUCUGGCGACUACUCCCGCGAAAACGAGAUGGCAGAGAGGCCAGGGUCUCGGCACCGCUCGCUGUAUAAACUGAUGGGUUCGCCGCCUUGGAAAGAGGCUUUCAGGCAGGGAUGCCUGGAGAGAAUGAGAAACAGCCGGGACAGGCUCCUGAGCAAAUACCGCCAGGCUGGAGGCAGUAUGUCAGGAGGCGCUCAGAACACCCUUCUAGUGCAGGAGGUGAUGGAAGAAGAGUGGAAUGCUUUGCAGUCGGUGGAGAGCUGCCCACAGGCCUGGGCUCAGUUGGAGGAGCCGAUGGACCUGGCUGUGCUGGAGGAAAUCCAACAGGAGCUGAUUGAUCAAGAACAGUCCAUCAUCAGUGAGUACGAGAAGAGCUUGCAGUUUGACGAACAGUGUCUCAGUGUCAUGCUUGCUGAGUGGGAAGCAAACCCCCUCAUCUGUCCCGUGUGUACAAAGUACAACCUGAGGGUAGCAAGUGGACUGGUCGUGUGUCAGUGUGGCCUGUACAUCCAGUCUCAUUCUCCGGAGAUGACAGAGCAAAAGCUUCGUGCUUGUUUAGAAGACAGUGUCAAUGAGCACAGUGCACAUUGUCCCCACACGCCAGAAUUUUCAGUCACUGAGGGGACAGAGGAGAAGUCAUGUCUUCUCAUGAGCUGUCUGGCUUGUGAUACUUGGGCUGUGAUCCUCUAGGGUCGGUCCCAGUCUUGAUGCAUGAUCUACUGUGUUGGAAGAAAGUCCCAUCUUGAGAAGUGGCCUUGGCACCUUCCAGUGGUGGUGAGCGGCUGAGAAGCUGUGGGCAUGGGCUAGAAGCCUCCUCUAAAACAAUAAAUGUACUUGGCUGCACAGGGUCUUGGUUGCGAGGUACGCAUGACCAUUGUUAUGUGUGGGAUCGCUCAGUUGCUGCAUGCGAGAUCUUAAUUCCCUGACCAGGGAUUGAACCCAGGUCCUCUGCGCUGGGAGCAGACACUUUGACCACCACAAAGUUCCAAAAGCCUCCUUUAAAAAAAUAAAAUGUACUUGGCUGGGCUGGGUCUUGGUUGCGAGGUGCAUGUGACCUUUGUUGCUAUGUGUGGUAUUUUAGUUCCCUGAUCGGGGAUUGAACCCAGGUCCCCUGCACUGGGAGAGGAGAAUUUUAACCACUGGACCACCACGAAGUUCCAGGAGCCUCCUUUAAAAAUCUCCCUCCAUUAGAAGAAAAUCUGCCUGAGAGGAAGAGAAGGAGCACCAGAGGGCUGUGGCAUCAGCUGAGGAUGGAGAGUAGCCCUGGCCCCAGGAAGGGGAGGCCUCACAAGGACACCACAUAGGGGAGUUCUCUGGUGGGCCAGGGGUUAGGACUUGGUGUGUUCACUGCCAUGGCCUGGGUUUGAUCCCCGGUCAGGGAACUAAGAUUCCCAGAAGCAGUGUGGCAAAAAAGAAAAAAGAAUAUGCUGCUGGACAGUUUUAUUCUUCAGAGCAGAUGUAGGAAGUUUAAUAAAUGACAAGGCAGGCCACAAACACCACCUAAUGACAAUUUUAACUUGCAAGAAUCUUCACCUGACAUAUCAUAUUCCAAAAUUUGAACUGAAAAUUGAGUGACACUUGGAACGAGCACUGCUAGGUUGCAGACAACGCUGCCCUCUGAAGCCAUGGUAACUGGCACCUUGACAGACAAGAGGUUUGAUGUACAGGCACAAAAAUCUGUCUAAGCUGUGACAGUGUGGACCAAACUGACCCCUGGACAGAGAAAUGCAGCUAUGUUCAGCAGCACAUUAUAAUGGUCCCAAACUGCCUAUGACUUCGCCUAGGAGAGUGGUUUGGGUCACGUUACAGACCACACAAUUGACCUAUGAAGGGGAAAAUGCUACACUACUAGGCAAAAGCACCAGCCGGCUGCUUCACAGCGCAUGCGAAACUUCAAAGUGGACCGUGGAUUUAAAACAGCUUAAGCAGGCCAAAAGCGUCCCUCUUUUCUAAUGAAAAACUAUACUUCAACUCCACCCUGUUAAUUAUCUUGCUUUCUCAACUGUAAACAGAACGGGGGCUUUAUUUUCCUCAGCCAGAGCCUGAGCGUAGUAGACCCAGCAGAGUAAAUCCGAUUCUGUUGGCAGUGCCGGAAUCUCUGAAUUUGCAUGCCUAGUUGUGGGCAAGGCACAGCCUCACUCACCAGGAAGGGCUCAGUGACUGCUGCCUCUACUGGUCCAGAAGACUCCCAGUGGCUUGGCUUCAGUGCUACUGGGGUGAUGUUCAGGCACUCAGUCAUAUCUGACUCUGCAACCCCAUGGACUCCCUGCCAGACUCCUCUG